GACUGCAUGAAGCUGGAAUCGCUAGUAAUCGCGAAUCAGAAUGCCGCGGUGAAUACGUUCCCGGGUCUUGUACACACCGCCCGUCACACCAUGGGAGUCGGAAAUGCCCGAAGUCAGUGACCCAACCGUAAGGGAGGGAGCUGCCGAAGGUGGAGCCGGUAACUGGGGUGAAGUCGUAACAAGGUAGC
rnacentral:rRNA from 1 species